rnacentral:rRNA from 1 species
AUACGGAGGGGGCAAGCGUUAUUCGGAUUUACUGGGCGUAAAGCGCGCGUAGGCGGUCUGUUUAGUCAGGCGUGAAAUCCCUGGGCUCAACCCAGGAACUGCGUUUGAAACUGGCGGACUAGAGUUCGGGAGAGGAGAGUGGAAUUCCCAGUGUAGAGGUGAAAUUCGUAGAUAUUGGGAAGAACACCAGUGGCGAAGGCGGCUCUCUGGACCGAUACUGACGCUGAGGUGCGAAAGCGUGGGGAGCAAACAGGAUUAGAAACCCCGGUAGUCC